rnacentral:rRNA from 1 species
GACGGAGGGUGCAAGCGUUGUUCGGAAUUACUGGGCGUAAAGGGCGCGUAGGCGGUCUGUUAAGUUCGGUGUGAAAGCCCCCGGCUCACCUGGGGAACUGCGCCGGAAACCGACAGACUCGAGUACCGGAGAGGAGGGUGGAAUUCCUGGUGUAGCGGUGAAAUGCGUAGAUAUCUGAAGGAACAUCAGUGGCGAAAGCGACUUCCUGGACGAAUACUGACGCUCAUGUGCGAAAGCGUGGGGAGCAAACAGG